AUGCGACAAAGUUUUGGGGGGGGGGACACUGGGGGCUCACCCCACGGCUCCCACCGGGGAGAUGCUGGUGGCGGGGGGGACACCGCAGCGCCCCGCGCCCUGAUGCGAAAGGGACGCGGGGAGAGGGGGGGGACAAGCCCCGUGUGUCCCCCCCCCGGGACGCAUCGGGGAUGGGGAGGGGGAGGUCCCGCAGCGGGUCGGGGCCCCCCCAGUUCCCAUCCCGAGGACGAGAUGGGGGCGGCACCGCGGGGACACGGGGGUCGCCCCCCUCCCGGCAUCGCCAUUCCCGGGGCCGGGCCGGGGGAGGGGGGGGCCGGGGGUGGCCGCCCCCCCGCCAGCCCAACGGAUGUGCCGGAGGAAUUUCCUCCCGCUCCCGGCGCUCCGCCCCGGGACCCCCCCGCCGCCGCCCCCGGCCCCUUCCUUGCCCCGGGGGGAGCCCCAGGGAAAGUGUGGGGGGGAAGGGACACGACGCAGGCCCCCCCCCAAAGACACACCGCCCCCUCCUCGCUCGCCCCUUACCUUGGAGACGAUGAGGGGCUCGCCGUGCUCCAGCCCCCCCCGCAGCGUGAAGCCCCAGGGCGCGCCGCCCUGCAGCUGCACAUGCACCAACUGCACGGCCCCGGGCCGGCCCUCGGCCCGCUCCAUGGCCGCUACCGCCCCAUCCCGGCACGGCUCGGCACGGCUCGGCACGGCGGAGGAAAUGACACCCCCCCCAACCUCCCCCCGGACCCCCCUUCCCACCUCCCGCCCGCCCGCCAGGCCGGGGCGGAGCGCAGCGCAGCGCAGCCCCGCCCGGCUCGGCACGGCUCGGAGCCGCCCGCAGCCGCUUGGCUCGGCUCGGCACGGCUUGGCACGGCUUGGCACGGCUCGGCUCGGUCCAGCUCAGCCCUGCCCGGUGGCGCAAGGAGCGCUGGCACGGCUGGGCACGGUUUGGCACAGCUCGCGGGGGCGCUUGGCACGCUCGGGGGCGGUUUGGCACGCCGCGAGGGGCGCAGGAUUUGGCACGGUUCGGCUCGGCGCAGCGUGGGUUGUUGGCACGGCUCGGCUCGGAGCCCGUCACUCGUGGGCCAGCCGUCACCACGCCCGGGUUGGGAGCGGGUGACGCGAGGCCGCCGUCUGGUCCCCACCCUGUCCCCCAGGACGUCCCCCCGCGUCCCCCCGGCAGCCCUGACUCAUCGCCUCCUGCCCAAAACUGCGGCGCCGGGAGCUCUGCGCUGUCCCCACGCCACCGGGACGUGGGAGUCCCCACAGCACAGACCCCCCUGCCACCAUCCCAGCUGUCCCCGGUGUCCCUGA
rnacentral:lncRNA from 1 species